AAGAUAAUAAAAUACAAAUAGUACCCACGGUAUUUUGCUUUUAUUAAAACACAGCUUGUGGACCGCUGUGACCAGAUUACUCAUUAUAUCAGCAGGAAUUCAGCCCCAUAGCUUAAAGUUAACACUACAAGGUGAUUCCCUCAGUUCUGCUCUUACACUGACUUCCUGAUGGAAGGUUAGGAAGUAGGUGCGGCUCCCGGUUUACUUUCUGACUCUUUGGAGAAAGUCCUGCCAGUUCAUUUACGUGCAACUGAAUUUGCAAAACCUAUCUUACCCAUAUUUUUUGCGAUUCGUUUAAACUAAGGAACCAUGCACUUUAAUAGCACCUCUUAAGUGGAAACCUAUCUUGGAUCACAGCACACUGACAAAUGGGUGAUGUUAUUGCAAUGAAGUCUCAAGGAGUGAUUUUACAUGAAGCAAGAAAAGUAGAGAAGGCACAGCCAUCAAUGGAGGUACAAUUAAAUCAAGAACGGCCGAAGGGAUUUUGACGAUGUCCCACUUGGUGGGGGACAUACAGGAACAAAGAAGGACAAGACUAUGGAGGAAUCUGCAAAAAAGGAAGGGAAUUUUAAAAUCAAGGAUGUGGGUGUCUCUGGCUAAGCCAGCAUUUAUCAC